rnacentral:lncRNA from 1 species
UGCCACGUAGGCAUUAGGAUUGGUACUAGGAGCUUAAUUGAAGUGUAAAUAGCAUUUCACCGUCACCUACUCACCUACACACAGCGUACGCCGCACGCGCCGCAGUCAAAAGUGAAGCCACGAGUCCUGCAUGCCACGCCGCGUCAGAGCGGCGACAGCAAGUGGCGCGCGUGUCGCCGGAGGAGCUCGCGGCGGCGCCACGUAGAGCCUCCGGUGUUAUCCCCUCCGGUUUCACUCUCCACCGCUCCCUCCAUCACCCCUAGCGCAAAGCCCCAGCCUCCCAGCAGCUCUCUCCUCGCUCUCGCUCCAACCGGCUGGCAACUCGCAACCGCAACCUGCGACGACAGCGGCGGCGAUGGCGCAGAGAGGCAGCGGCGGCGGGGGAGGCUCGGCCGGAACCAACCACAACAGGCAACCGGCGACAGCGGCGGCGAUGGCGAUGGCGCAGAGAGGCGGCGGCGGCUCGGCCGGAACCAACCACAACCGGCAACUGGCGACGGCGAGAGCGGCGGCGGCGAUGGCGCUGAGAGGAG